GUGGGGAAUAUUGGGCAAUGGGCGAAAGCCUGACCCAGCAACGCCGCGUGAUUGAAGAAGGCCUUCGGGUUGUAAAGAUCUGUCCUAUGGGACGAAAAAAAUGACGGUACUAUAGGAGGAAGCCCCGGCUAACUACGUGCCAGCAGCCGCGGUAAUACGUAGGGGGCGAGCGUUGUCCGGAAUUACUGGGCGUAAAGGGUGCGUAGGCGGUUUUUUAAGUCAGAUGUGAAAUACCCAGGCUUACCUUGGGGGGUGCAUCUGAUACUGGAGGACUUGAGUGCAGGAGAGGAAAGUGGAAUUCCUAGUGUAGCGGUUGAAUGCGUAGAUAUUAGGAGGAACACCAGUGGCGAAGGCGACUUUCUGGACUGUAACUGACGCUGAGGCACGAAAGCGUGGGGAGCAAACAGGAUUAGAAACCCUGGUAGUCC
rnacentral:rRNA from 1 species